GACGAACGCUGGCGGCGUGCUUAACACAUGCAAGUCGAACGGAAAGGCCCUGCUUUUGUGGGGUGCUCGAGUGGCGAACGGGUGAGUAACACGUGAGUAACCUGCCCUUGACUUUGGGAUAACUUCAGGAAACUGGGGCUAAUACCGGAUAGGAGCUCCUGUUGCAUGGUGGGGGUUGGAAAGUUUCGGCGGUUGGGGAUGGACUCGCGGCUUAUCAGCUUGUUGGUGGGGUAGUGGCUUACCAAGGCUUUGACGGGUAGCCGGCCUGAGAGGGUGACCGGCCACAUUGGGACUGAGAUACGGCCCAGACUCCUACGGGGGGCAGCAGUGGGGAAUAUUGCACAAUGGGCGGAAGCCUGAUGCAGCAACGCCGCGUGCGGGAUGACGGCCUUCGGGUUGUAAACCGCUUUCGCCUGUGACGAAGCGUGAGUGACGGUAAUGGGUAAAGAAGCACCGGCUAACUACGUG
rnacentral:rRNA from 1 species